CAUUACGAAGCUUAGAGCGUUAACCUUUUAAGUUAAAGUUAGAGAUGUCAAGUCUCCGUAAUGA
rnacentral:tRNA from 1 species